rnacentral:rRNA from 2 species
GAUGAACGCUGGCGGCGCGCCUAACACAUGCAAGUCGAACGGUUAAAGCACCUUUUAGGUGUGUAUAAAGUGGCGAACGGCUGAGUAACACGUGGGCAACCUGCCCUCCUCUUGGGGAUAGCCUCGGGAAACCGAGGAUAAUACCCGAUACUUCAAUGUGGCCGCAUGACGACAUUGAGAAAGCUUUUGCGGAGAAGGAUGGGCCCGCGGCCUGUUAGCUUGUUGGUGGGGUAGAGGCCUACCAAGGCAAUGAUGGGUAGCUGGGUUGAGAGACCGACCAGCCAGAUUGGGUCUGAGACACGGCCCAGACUCCUACGGGAGGCAGCAGUGGGGAAUCUUGCACAAUGGGCGAAAGCCUGAUGCAGCGACGCCGCGUGCGGGAAGAAGGCCUUCGGGUUGUAAACCGCUUUCAGCAGGGACGAGGC